GCUUAUACAUGCAAGUCGAACGGUGGUAGCAAUACCAUAGUGGCGCACGGGUGCGUAACGCGUAACCAACCUGCCCCGAUCUGGGGGAUAGCCCGCCGAAAGGCGGAUUAAUACCGCAUAACCCAACAAGGUGGCAUCACCUAAUUGGUAAAGAUUUAUUGGAUCGGGAUGGGGUUGCGUGACAUUAGCUAGUUGGCGGGGUAACGGCCCACCAAGGCGACGAUGUCUAGGGGACCUGAGAGGGUGAUCCCCCACACUGGCACUGAGAUACGGGCCAGACUCCUACGGGAGGCAGCAGUAGGGAAUAUUGGGCAAUGGACGAGAGUCUGACCCAGCCAUGCCGCGUGCCGGAUGAAGGCCUUCUGGGUUGUAAACGGCUUUUCUCAGGGAAGAAAAAGGGGAUGCGUCCUCAACUGACGGUACCUGAGGAAUAAGCACCGGCUAACUCCGUGCCAGCAGUCGCGGUAAUACGGAGGGUGCAAGCGUUGUCCGGAUUUAUUGGGUUUAAAGGGUGCGUAGGCGGCUUGUUAAGUCCGGGGUGAAAGCCCACUGCUCAACAGUGGAACUGCCCUGGAUACUGGCAAGCUUGAGUCCAGACGAGGUUGGCGGAAUGGAUGGUGUAGCGGUGAAAUGCAUAGAUACCAUCCAGAACCCCGAUUGCGAAGGCAGCUGACUAGGCUGGUACUGACGCUGAGGCACGAAAGCGUGGGGAGCGAACAGGAUUAGAUACCCUGGUAGUCCACGCCCUAACGAUGAUUACUCGACAUACGCGAUAUACAGUGUGUGUCUGA
rnacentral:rRNA from 1 species